rnacentral:rRNA from 1 species
CUUGGUCAUUUAGAGGAAGUAAAAGUCGUAACAAGGUCUCCGUUGGUGAACCAGCGGAGGGAUCAUUACCGAGUUUACAACUCCCAAACCCCUGUGAACAUACCUUAAUGUUGCCUCGGCGGAUCAGCCCGCGCCCCGUAAAACGGGACGGCCCGCCAGAGGAUCCAAACUCUAAUGUUUCUUAUUGUAACUUCUGAGUAAAACAAACAAAUAAAUCAAAACUUUCAACAACGGAUCUCUUGGUUCUGGCAUCGAUGAAGAACGCAGCAAAAUGCGAUAAGUAAUGUGAAUUGCAGAAUUCAGUGAAUCAUCGAAUCUUUGAACGCACAUUGCGCCCGCUGGUAUUCCGGCGGGCAUGCCUGUUCGAGCGUCAUUUCAACCCUCAAACCUCACGGUUUGGUGUUGGGGAUCGGGUUUUCGCAAGAGAACCCGCCCCCUAAAUACAUUGGCGGUCUCGCUGCAACCUCCAUUGCGUAGUAGCUAACACCUCGCAACUGGAACGCGGCGCGGCCAUGCCGUAAAACCCCAACUUCUGAACGUUGACCUCGGAUCAGGUAGGAAUACCCGCUGAACUUAAGCAUAUCAAUAAGCGGAGGAAAAGAAACCAACAGGGAUUGCCCUAGUAACGGCGAGUGAAGCGGCAACAGCUCAAAUUUGAAAUCCGGCUUUCGGGCCCGAGUUGUAAUUUGUAGAGGAUACUUUUGAUGCGGUGCCUUCCGAGUUCCCUGGAACGGGACGCCAUAGAGGGUGAGAGCCCCGUCUGGUUGGAUGCCAAAUCUCUGUAAAGUUCCUUCGACGAGUCGAGUA